GUAUUUAAUUCGCUCGCGUUUUAAGACAAGCUAAUAUUGACAUUCUAAGACUUUUGAAGGGUGUGUAUAAGACAUAGAGAGAAGGGUUUUUACUCCCUCUCCCUACAGAGUGUGCACAGGUGUAUGAAAGUUUCGAUCGGGGCGUGCACAUGCCGGUAAAGGCCAGCAACAACCCGUCUCAGAAGGAAUUCAAUAAUGAUCCUUCCGCAGGUUCACCUACGGAAA
rnacentral:misc_RNA from 1 species